UACGGGGGGGGUAAGCGUUGUUCGGAAUUACUGGGCGUAAAGGGCUCGUAGGCGGCCAACUAAGUCAGACGUGAAAUCCCUCAGCUUAACUGGGGAACUGCGUCUGAUACUGGAUGGCUUGGAUCCGGAAGAGGGAUGCGGAAUUCCAGGUGUAGCGGUGAAAUGCGCAGAUAUCAGGAGGAACACCGGUGGCGAAGGCGGAUCUCUGGGCCAUUACUGACGCUGAGGAGCGAAAGCGUGGGGAGCGAACAGG
rnacentral:rRNA from 1 species